rnacentral:lncRNA from 1 species
UAUUAUCAAAAUAAUUUUUAUUUUAAUAAAAUUUAAUUAUAUUAAAAUUAUAAUAAUUAUUAAUUGUUAUUAAUUAUUAAAUUGAUAUUAAAAUAUCAAAAAAUAUAGUGGAUAAAAAUUAUAAAUUUUACAAUAACUUAAUCCUUAAAUUAAAGAAUACUAGAAAAUCAAAAUAAAGUUUAAUCACAAAAAUUAUUAUUUCUCAAUAAAUAAGAACGUACACUUUAAUAAUAAACUUUCACAAACUUGACAUUAACAAUCUAAUAAUAAAUUUUGCCACUUGUUAUUUAUUUAAUUAUGCAAUAUUUGUUU